rnacentral:tRNA from 1 species
UGCGACUUAAUUCAAUGGAAGAAGAUCAUCGUUACAAGGUGAUAGUUGAAAGUUCGAAUCUUUCAGUCGCAA